rfam:Haemonchus contortus, ISE/inbred ISE, WGS project CAVP01000000 data, contig: Hcontortus_21924
UGCGCAAACUUGAAGUGGAUUAGUUGGGUAUGGUCAGCUGAUACUACUAAACUACUUAACUUCAAGUUUGUGCUC